rnacentral:tRNA from 1 species
GCCUUCGUGGUAUAGUGGUUAGCACACUCGGCACGUAUUCGAGAGGUCCGAGGUUCGAGUCCUGGCUAAGACA